CUUCGGACCUCGCGCUAUGAGAUGAGCCUGCGUUAGAUUAGCUAGUUGGUAGGGUAAAGGCCUACCAAGGCGACGAUCUAUAGCUGGUCUGAGAGGACGAUCAGCCACACUGGGACUGAGACACGGCCCAGACUCCUACGGGAGGCAGCAGUGGGGAAUAUUGGACAAUGGGCGCAAGCCUGAUCCAGCAAUACCGCGUGUGUGAAGAAGGCCUUAGGGUUGUAAAGCACUUUCAAUUGGGAGGAAAACCUGUCGGUCAAUACCCGGCAGCUUGACAUUACCUUUAGAAGAAGCACCGGCUAACUCCGUG
rnacentral:rRNA from 1 species